GUGAAUCAUCGAAUUUUUGAACGCAAAUUGCACUCUCUUCGGAUAGUAUGCCUGUUUGAGGUUCAGCCUCAAAAAAUUCUACAUAGUCGCUGUUUCGCUGUUACAUUCGGCGGAAAUUGGGUCAUCUUAAACCUUUGGGUUUUAAACGGCUUAAAAUUUUCUUUACGAUUCCACGAACGUUUCUAAGAUUUACUUCUUACACGUUUAAGGUAAUCGAUCUUUAUUAGACGUGUCCGUUGCAUCGGAUCGCGUCCAUAAAUAUUUCGUUAACUGACCUCAUACAAGUAGGAACACCCGCUGA
rnacentral:misc_RNA from 1 species